rnacentral:rRNA from 1 species
GACGAACGCUGGCGGCGUGCUUAACACAUGCAAGUCGAACGGAAAGGCCCUGCUUUUGUGGGGUGCUCGAGUGGCGAACGGGUGAGUAACACGUGAGUAACCUGCCCUUGACUUUGGGAUAACUUCAGGAAACUGGGGCUAAUACCGGAUAGGAGCUCCUGCUGCAUGGUGGGGGUUGGAAAGUUUCGGCGGUUUGGGGUGGACUCGCGGCUUAUCAGCUUGUUGGUGGGGUAGUGGCUUACCAAGGCUUUGACGGGUAGCCGGCCUGAGAGGGUGACCGGCCACAUUGGGACUGAGAUACGGCCCAGACUCCUACGGGAGGCAGCAGUGGGGAAUAUUGCACAAUGGGCGGAAGCCUGAUGCAGCAACGCCGCGUGCGGGAUGACGGCCUUCGGGUUGUAAACCGCUUUCGCCUGUGACGAAGCGUGAGUGACGGUAAUGGGUAAAGAAGCACCGGCUAACUACGUG